rnacentral:rRNA from 1 species
GUUGAUCCCCUUCGGGGGUGACGCUUGUGGAAUGAGCGGCGGACGGGUGAGUAACACGUGGGCAACCUGCCUGUAAGACUGGGAUAACCCCGGGAAACCGGGGCUAAUACCGGAUAAUACUUUCUUUUGCAUAAAGGAAAGUUGAAAGGCGGCUUCGGCUGUCACUUACAGAUGGGCCCGCGGCGCAUUAGCUAGUUGGUGAGGUAACGGCUCACCAAGGCGACGAUGCGUAGCCGACCUGAGAGGGUGAUCGGCCACACUGGGACUGAGACACGGCCCAGACUCCUACGGGAGGCAGCAGUAGGGAAUCUUCCGCAAUGGACGAAAGUCUGACGGAGCAACGCCGCGUGAGUGAUGAAGGUUUUCGGAUCGUAAAACUCUGUUGUUAGGGAAGAACAAGUUGGGUAGUAACUGACCCAACCUUGACGGUACCUAACCAGAAAGCCACGGCUAACUACGUGCCAGCAGCCGCGGUAAUACGUAGGUGGCAAGCGUUGUCCGGAAUUAUUGGGCGUAAAGCGCUCGCAGGCGGUCCUUUAAGUCUGAUGUGAAAUCUCGCGGCUCAACCGCGAACGGUCAUUGGAAACUGGAGGACUUGAGUACAGAAGAGGAGAGUGGAAUUCCACGUGUAGCGGUGAAAUGCGUAGAGAUGUGGAGGAACACCAGUGGCGAAGGCGACUCUCUGGUCUGUAACUGACGCUGAGGAGCGAAAGCGUGGGGAGCGAACAGGAUUAGAUACCCUG